rnacentral:rRNA from 1 species
UACGGAGGGUGCAAGCGUUAUCCGGAAUUACUGGGUUUAAAGGGUGCGUAGGCGGCUAUAUAAGUCAGGAGUGAAAGGUUCCCGCUAAACGGGAGAAGGUCUUUUGAUACUGUAUAGCUUGAAUAAGGUUGAGGUUAGCGGAAUGUGACAUGUAGCGGUGAAAUGCAUAGAUAUGUCAUAGAACACCAAUUGCGAAGGCAGCUGGCUAGACCUUUAUUGACGCUGAGGCACGAAAGCGUGGGGAGCGAACAGG